CAGGACUGAACCAGGACUAAACCAGGACUAAACCUGGACUGAACCAGGACUAAACCUGGACUAAACCUGGACUGAACCAGGACUGAACCAGGACUGAACCAGGACUAAACCAGGACUGAACCAGGACUGAACCAGGACUAAACCAGGACUGAACCAGGACUGAACCAGGACUAAACCAGGACUAACCAGGACUAAACUAGGACUAAACCAAGACUAAAAGAGGACUGAACCAGGACUAAACUGUUUUCAGUCCUAGUCUGGUCCCAGUCUCGGUUCCGGUCCAGGACAUUUACCGUUUAUUUUUCCCGCAGAUUUUCUAAAACAAAUAAAUAUGAAGUUUGGAAGCUCAGGUCGAAUCAUCUCUGUGGAAAUAAUGAACACAAGAUCUCUAACUUUUAAUUUAAACUCUUUUCUGAAACUUUAUGAACCACAAAGUUAUUAAAACGUGUCACGGAAUCGUUUUAAAUUUGAUUGUUGGUUUUAAAACAGCCGAUGCCUUUGAACUCUUAAUAUUUUCAUUUUUGAAAAGUCUGUGGGAAAAAAUAAAUGGAAAAUUUAAUUCCAGAAUCAGAACUUUCGAAGCGGCGAGACUGUUGAGCUCCUUUGGAUUUAAAAUUUCAGAAAAGCACCAGUUUUAAUCUUUGUUUUUAGAUUACUGGCAGAAAAAAAUGUACACUUUAAACAUUUAUAAAUAUACAAUAAACAAAACAAACAUCAACAAAAAACAUAUUAAAUUAAAAAAAAUAUAUAUUAAUAUUUAAAAAAAAAUCUAUAUAUUUUUUGUUUGGCUAAAAAUAAAUAAAUAAAUAAAUUCUUACGUGAAAAAAUUUUUUAUGGUUAUUUCCAGUCAGAAUAAUUUGAAAUGAACCCAAAACAGCGAGUUAGUUACAGACUUAUAAUUUCACGUUUAAAUCUAGAGAUAAAACUUGAAAAAUAAAAAUUCCCCCGACGUGUCUCGACUUAAAUCUUUAGACUAAACAGAAGGUUUUGCUCAUGUUGUUGUUUUUUGUUUUUGUUUUUUUUCCUAAAUCUCAUUCACCACUUUUGUCCCUUUAACUCUGGACUCAGGGCAACGCCAUCCACUGGUUUAAAGCUGCAUUGUGUAACUUUUCUGCUGGAGGUUGCGCCGCAUAGACAUAGGGGGUGUUACUGCUUUGCUUGGCAUGUUCCAGAAUGUGGCAGUUUAAAACUCUACUCAGCCUUUGUUUCACUGGAGGUGAUUUUAUUGUUCAGAAAACCUUGAAGUACCUGGGCUCUUGUGUGAACGGGCUCGCCUCUCCACAGAACUGGUCUGCGCUUUGUCUCCAUGGAGAUAGAGUUUAAUGGGGUUUAAUGCCGCUCCGUGAAACAUUCCAGGCUGAACACUUAAGUGCGUCGACAUGGAGACUAGCGCGUGGCGUUUCCUCCCAAGAAAAGUUACACAGUGCAUCUUUAAGAUAUAUACAGUCUAUAGGUAAAGCUAUAGACCCUAUACAGAUACAUACAGUCUAUAGGUAACUUCAUACACCGUGUACAGAUAUAUUUUGUCUAUAAGUAAAUAGAUAAUAAUAAUAAUACAAAUAAUUAUAUAUUGUAUUGUUAACCAUAGACUGUAUACACAUAUAUACGGUCUAUAGGUAACUGCAUAUAGAUAUAUACAGUCUAUAGGGAACAUAUGGAAGAUAAUUUGUUAUAUAAUAAUGUUUGUUUUUUUAACUCUGAAAAAAGAUGUUUGAAAUAUUUUAUUCCGAAUUCUAGUGGCUGAAAUUUGAAGUUUACUUUCAAUUCAAAAUAAACAAUAUUUUCAAGCCCUCAAAAAAAUUCACCAGUCGAAAUUCAGAACGUAAACUUCGCAGUGAAAAAUUUCACGGCAAAGAGCCAAGAUGCCAAGGCAGAAGCAAUCGAUCAUGUGACAUAUGAGCGAGGAGGACAGAGGCCGUUUCCUAUUGGCUGUUCUCAUUUGUGGGCGGGGUUUACACUUAACCAAUCAAAGAGAUGGAGUUUUGAUGAGGUUAAUUUUGACCAAUCAGAUCAUGUCACUGCAACAUUUCCUGUUUCUUACUAAGUUAGAUCGAAUCACUUUGGAUCGAUUGCUUCUGCCUUGGCAUCUCAGAUCUUUUCUGCGAAUUUUACACUCUGAAUUUUGACUGUUGAAUUUGAAGGCUUGAAGAUAUUUGUGCUGAAUAUUUAAAAGGUGAUUUUUUAAAUAUUGAAUUUUAUACACUGAAAAUUUCACAAACAAAAAUUCACAAUAAAAAUAAUUCAAACAUGUUUUUUCAGAGGAAAAAAUUUCAAAGUGAGAAAUUCAACAGCGUUUAAAAUUCAAAAUCUGAUGAAACAAAUGAUCUUCCAUAGGAACUCCACAGACUUUAUACAGAUAUAUACAGUCUACAGGUAACAUCAGACCGUAUACAGAUAUAUACGGUCUAUAGGCAACUCCAUAGACUGUAUAUACAUAUAUAUUGUAUUGUUUCCUAUAGACCGUGUACAGAUGGAGUCUAGGUAAAAACAGACUGUUUCUAGAUAUAUACAAUUUAUAAGGCAGCGCUAUAGACUGUACACAGAUAUAUACAGUCUAAAGAUAAAACUAUAGAAUAUAUAUAGAACGAUAUAUAGUCUAUAGGUAACAACAGACAGACAGUCAAAAUGUACUGCCAUAGACUGUAUACAGAUAUAUACGAUCUAUAGGUAACUCCAGAGACUGUACACAGAUAUAUAUUGUAUUGUUACCUAUAGACUGUAUAUAUCUGUAUACAUUCUAUAUCUUUACGUAUAGACUGUAAAAAAACUGUAUACAUUCUGCAGCUUUACCUUUAGACUGUCUAUAUCUGUAUACGGUCUAUAGCGUUACCUAUGGACUGUAUACAGAUAUAGAUUCUAUAGGUAACGCCACAGACUGUAUACACAUAUAUAUUGUAGUGUUUCCUGUAGACUGUAUAUAUCUGUAUAUGGUCUAUAGCUUUACCUAUAGACAGUAUACACAUAUAUACAGUCUAUAGUUAACAUUAUAGACCGUAUACAGAUUUAUAUAUAUUGUAGCAUUAUAUAUAGACUGUAUGCAGAUAUACACAGUCUAUAGGAAACACCAGACCGUACACAGAUGUUUGACAUUAUACGUGUUACAUUCCGCGUGUUCUUCAGAUCAGUUGCUAUGGUUACGGUGGCCAUAUUUGGUUCUGUGGAAGGUUCCGUGUUGGAUGUUUGGAUGAGGAGUUUUUGGAGCUGCAGCUGUACAGUCUGAGCUUCUGCCAUAACUGCUGUUCGUACGAUCCACUGUAAAUACAGGUUUUUAUCCAAAAUAUCA